CAGCAGCCGCGGUAAUACGAAGGGUGCAAGCGUUAAUCGGAAUUACUGGGCGUAAAGCGUGCGUAGGCGGUUUGUUAAGUCUGUUGUGAAAUCCCCGGGCUCAACCUGGGAAUGGCAAUGGAUACUGGCAAGCUAGAGUGUGUCAGAGGAUGGUGGAAUUCCCGGUGUAGCGGUGAAAUGCGUAGAGAUCGGGAGGAACAUCAGUGGCGAAGGCGGCCAUCUGGGACAACACUGACGCUGAGGCACGAAAGCGUGGGGAGCAAACGGGAUUAGAUACCCCUGUAGUCCCUGUCUCUUAUAC
rnacentral:rRNA from 1 species